GACAGAGGGUGCAAACGUUGUUGGGAAUUACUGGGCGUAAAGCGCGUGUAGGCGGCUCGGAAAGUCGGGUGUGAAAGCCCUGGGCUCAACCUAGGAAGUGCACUCGAAACUUCCGAGCUGGAGUUCUGGAGAGGAAGGCGGAAUUCUCGGUGUAGAGGUGAAAUUCGUAGAUAUCGAGAGGAACACCGGUGGCGAAGGCGGCCUUCUGGACAGCAACUGACGCUGAGACGCGAAAGCGUGGGGAGCAAACAGG
rnacentral:rRNA from 1 species